ACAUGCCUACAUCAUAAUGUUAAUGCACAAUAUCCCAUUAGAACUCCAUAUUUAAGCACGUUAAGGCUAGAGUAGUACUAGGAUGGGUGAUUUCCCAAGGAGUCCUAGUGUUAUACAUGCC
rnacentral:rRNA from 1 species